rfam:Eurypyga helias contig3276, whole genome shotgun sequence.
CACCAGGAUCUACUAAGAUCCAUAAAUACAGCCUGGCCCGUUUGAU